CCUACGGGGGGCAGCAGUGGGGAAUAUUGCACAAUGGGCGGAAGCCUGAUGCAGCGACGCCGCGUGAGGGAUGACGGCCUUCGGGUUGUAAACCUCUUUCGACAGGGACGAAGCUUUUGUGACGGUACCUGUAUAAGAAGCACCGGCUAACUACGUGCCAGCAGCCGCGGUAAUACGUAGGGUGCGAGCGUUGUCCGGAAUUACUGGGCGUAAAGAGCUCGUAGGUGGUUUGUCGCGUCGUCUGUGAAAUUCCGGGGCUUAACUCCGGGCGUGCAGGCGAUACGGGCAUAACUUGAGUGCUGUAGGGGAGACUGGAAUUCCUGGUGUAGCGGUGAAAUGCGCAGAUAUCAGGAGGAACACCGAUGGCGAAGGCAGGUCUCUGGGCAGUAACUGACGCUGAGGAGCGAAAGCAUGGGGAGCGAACAGGAUUAGAUACCCUAGUAGUC
rnacentral:rRNA from 1 species